CGGAACGGGUGAGUAACGCGUGAGGAACCUGCCUCAAAGAGGGGGACAACAGUUGGAAACGACUGCUAAUACCGCAUAAGCCCACGGCUCGGCAUCGAGCAGAGGGAAAAGGAGUGAUCCGCUUUGAGAUGGCCUCGCGUCCGAUUAGCUAGUUGGUGAGGUAACGGCCCACCAAGGCGACGAUCGGUAGCCGGACUGAAAGGUUGAACGGCCACAUUGGGACUGAGACACGGCCCAG
rnacentral:rRNA from 1 species